rnacentral:snoRNA from 1 species
CUGCAUGUUAAAAAAAAAAAAAAUUCUGCUCCUCAUUCCCGUAAGGAGCAUGAAUAUGUAUAUAACAUGCUACAGAAAACAAGGAGUUUUCAGGGCUGCCAGUCUUGCAGUAAAGGCUGAGUGGUAGUAUAGGUCUCCUACACCU